UGAUAGCUAUGAAGCGCGAGGUUGCGGCCUUUAUAUGGCCGGUUUUCCGUGGAGCGAAUGUCAAGUUAGGAAACUGACGACAG
rnacentral:ncRNA from 1 species